AAAAAUGUGCACUUUACAGAAAGUUUAUUUCUUGAAUCCGACCCAAAUGGCGUAGUAUUGCGUUUCUCCUCAAUUUGUAUUUAAAGACUAAGUAUUAGUAUUGUAAUUAGGAAAUCGAGAAACAAAAAGCAUACGAAAGAAGUGGGCCCGUUUAGCAAAGACCACAUGAUAACGAAAGGGACUUCUUUAAACUUUGAACCAGAAUGUGGGCCCCAUGUAAGUCACGGUCUUGGUGAGCUGUUUCAUAGUCAUGGUUUUGUGGGUUGGGCUGUUUCUGAGACAUUCGGCGGCUGGCAGGUGGCGACUUGGGUUAGUGGGUGUGGUAGCUUCAGCUUCGUGGGUCGACUACUCCUACCUCUAUCAUCAUCACAAUCGACUGCCUACCAUUGCACAACAUUGUCCAGCCACCACUCUUGCCUCUACUACCGACUACCCGUCCUUCUCGUAGAGGUCAUCUAGUCUCUUCUUCAACAAUCUUCACCGUGGAUUGGAAUUUCAGUACAUUUUAUUCCCUCUUCCCAUGGUUAAGCGCUCCGUCUUUUGUUUUCAAUUUUGUUAUUCUUGUUUUCAAUUUCUCUGGAAGAGUCGAUGACUUUUGAAUCCUCAUAUAGCACUAACAUGGACUUAACUUCUACUGUAAACCAACUUGUUUUUUCCCUCACUAAUGUGUAUUCACAGUUUAGCUUUAAGCUGUCGGUUGAUGACUCGAAAUACAAAUAACGGCGUCAUAUUUUUCUUGACAUGUGCAAAGGUGAUAAAGUUCAUGACCAUAUUACUGGAGAAUACCAACCUCAAGAUCAUAUGUAGCGACAAACUGUAUCCCUAAGGACUUAUGUGACAAGCUCGAUGAAUUUUUCCUCAACAACAAGAUGUCUUGAAUGCUUCAAUAUUCGCAACACCAAGAAAGGUGCUUUCCCCAUUACUAUUUUUUCUACUCUUUGAAGAACUUAGUCGGUGCACUAGCAGACUGUGACUCCAAAAAUAAUGAAGUGGAACUAGUAAUGCAAAUUCUUCGUUAAUUUCCAUCAUUCUAUCAUAGAGUUGUCAAUGUCAUUACCAAUAUAAAGUCGUUUAUAUCGUUUCUUGAGGCUAAAACACGUUUCUUUGCAACUCUGUGAUUUUUCACCUCAUUUUAUUUUAUUUUUAAAAGAACAUUUUGACAGAAUACAUUAGUGGAAGUCUUAUUUAACACUUAUGUUGAAAACAUCACCAACUUUACUUUAUUCUAAAAAAUGACCCUCAUUAAAGUUAAAGUUUGCAAAAACCAACAAUAUAUGAAAACUCAAACAA